rnacentral:rRNA from 1 species
UACAGAGGUCCCAAGCGUUGUUCGGAUUCACUGGGCGUAAAGGGUGCGUAGGCGGUCGGGUAAGUCUGAUGUGAAAUCUCACAGCUUAACUGUGAAACUGCAUUGGAUACUAUCCGGCUCGAGGAAUGGAGGGGAGACUGGAAUACUUGGUGUAGCAGUGAAAUGCGUAGAUAUCGGAAGGAACACCUGUGGCGAAAGCGGCUCACUGGACCAUAACUGACGCUGAGGCGCAAAAGCUAGGGGAGCAAACAGG